GCCCCUGUCGUGCUGCAGAGCGACCGCAUCCGCGUCGGUAGGCUAUGUCUUCCAGCUUCCAGGCUUGAUGUCUUUUUACUUCGGGGAACUGCAUCAACUUUUGUGAGAUCAUGCUUUAUCCUCUGGCUUUGGUACCAUUUUGUGAACGAAAACUGUUCUCUUCUGCCCUGUAAUGACUGAACACGCUGUACGGUAAAAGUGGGGCCUCAUGAAGCGAAAAGUAAUCCAAAAUGAUGUGAACAGGUUCAAGCUUUGAGACUCUGGUAAUUCAACUGUUACAGUGCCUGGCUCUAGAAUUAAUUGUCUAAUUAGGUUCAACCUAAUAGCGUGCCUUGCAGUUAACGAUGGGGGGUGGGGCAUACUUAGCUCCUGGGGUAUGCCAGAAACUGAGUUAAAGUUAGCCUUACUAGAUUCAUAUAAACAACCACGCUAGAAGCGAGGUGUGGUUUUAUGCCUAUCAGAUCGACCCAGCUGUCACAGCAGAUGGUAUAGAUAGGAUUCAAAGCUAAUGAACUUAAACUGCCAAACAUAUAUUUAACUCUCCAAAUUAAAUGAUUUUUAAAACUUGUCUUAAUACAAGUAAUAUAGAAAACAAUGUGUUCAUUUUUAUAUUCUUUUUCCGUUCCACUGUCUUGCUGGAGAAUUGCUCCUACCAAGCUCUAUCAGUUAUAUAGUGAAGGUGAGACAAUUUAAUAAGCAGCUGUUUCUAACUCAAAUAAACCUUUAUUUUUAUUUUAUUGAUUCAUUGUGAAUUUCACAUCAUACACUCCAGAUCCACAAUCCCUCCGUCCUUUUUGCCCUUGCAAACCCCCCCCCCCCCAAAAUAAAAAUAAAGUUUAGGAAACCUCAUCGU
rnacentral:lncRNA from 1 species